ensembl:lncRNA
AAAAAAAAAAGUCCAGGACUUUGUAAUUAUAAGGGAAGACUUGAUUCUUAAUGAUAACAGGAGCAUUCCCAGGCUGAACCAACUUAUGUUUGGAAAUCACAAGGCCAGAGUGAAUGUGAAAAACAAAGAUUGACUGAACAUCCCUAAGGGCUCUGGAGACACAAAGGAAAGGCGGUCAGAGUCCCUGCUGUCCUCCCAGGCAGGGAGGUGGGGAGCGACACACGACAACUGUCUCUCCAGGAGGAUCAGAGAGCACCCUGGAGUCCUGCAGAGAUGCCCUGGACCAUGUCAGGAGGUAAGCCCUGGGCCUGGCCAUGAAAACCAGGAGAAUGCAAAGCAUGUAACAUCUCACUUAGAGCUGACGCAGAAGGGAAGUGACUCUGAAAUAUAGACCCUCUUGGCCUCUGGGGGAGAUUUAUGUGGCGAGGAUCACGCUCCUCAGAGAAAGACUGCAGCUCUACAUCAGAUCAUCAAGCGUUAGAUUCCGGAGGUUGGGGACCCCUGCCUUAUGCAAUUGCUCUUGCAGCUGCACCGGAAGAAGCUCAGAGAGAACAGGAAGUGACUCUGAGGGGCCCAGUGACAUCUAUCUCAGCCUGAAGGACGUGAGGAGGCUGAGCAGAGCACUUGGACCUGGGCCCCCUGAAGGGGACAGUGGCCAUCUCAGCAAUGACCAGAGGGGAUCUCUGGCCCCACAGAAAGGCCUCCAAGAACUUUUCCUGGAAGGUCCAUGACUGAGGCUGAAUUUCCUUCCAACAUAAAAGUGAUGGGAGUUCAGAGUUGUAUUUAAGUUGACUGAACAAAAGAAAGACUUUGCCUUGUGUGUGAUGUGCCUGGCUUCCUUAGUCUGUAGCCUGAGAUUCAACCUGCUAUGAGUGUCUACUAUGUGCUAGAAAAUAUAAUAGCAUUAUCAAACAUUUUAUCAUUUAAAC